CCCCUAGAUGUUCUGGGCCGCACGCGCGCUACACUGAACAGUUCAACAAGUCUUAACCUUGGCCGAUAGGUCUGGGUAAUCUUUGAACGCUGUUCGUGAUUGGGAUAGACCUUUGCAAUUAUGGGUCUUCAACGAGGAAUUCCUAGUAAACGCAAGUCAUCAGCUUGCAUUGAUUACGUCCCUGCCCUUUGUACACACCGCCCGUCGCACCUACCGAUGGAUAAUCCGGUGAAUUAUUCGGACCGGCACUCAACCAGGUUUCCUGGAUGAGAGCUGGAAAGUCUUGUGAACCUUAUUAUCUAGAGGAAGGAGAAGUCGUAACA
rnacentral:rRNA from 1 species